rnacentral:rRNA from 1 species
CGAACGGGUGAGUAACGCGUGAGUAACCUGCCCUGGAGUGGGGGGACAACAGUUGGAAACGACUGCUAAUACCGCAUAAGCCCACGGAUCCGCAUGGAUCUGCGGGAAAAGGAUUUAUUUGCUUCAGGAUGGACUCGCGUCCAAUUAGCUAGUUGGUGAGGUAACGGCCCACCAAGGCGACGAUUGGUAGCCGGACUGAGAGGUUGAACGGCCACAUUGGGACUGAGACACGGCCCAGACUCCUACGGGAGGCAGCAUG